AGUAAAGUGCUUGACAAAAAGGUCGUUUUGAUGGGACGAAGAAUGGAGGAAUUAUGGCCUCCCUUUACUA
rnacentral:tRNA from 1 species